rnacentral:rRNA from 1 species
GUGCAGCAGGCGAGAAACCUGCACAAUGUGGGAAACCACGAUGCGGGAACUCCAAGUGCCUACACUAUGUGUAGGCUGUUCUCGAGCCUAAAAAGCUCGAGAAGUAAGGGCCGGGUAAGACGGGUGCCAGCCGCCGCGGUAAUACCCGCGGCCCGAGUGGUGCUCAUUAUUAUUGAGCCUAAAGCGUCCGUAGCUGGCCGGGCAAAUCUCCGGGGAAAUCGGGCCGCUCAACGGUCCGAAGGCCGGAGACACUGCUCGGCUUGGGAUCGGGAGAGGGUGAAGGUACUCCCUGGGUAGGGGUAAAAUCCUGUAAUCCGGGGGGGACCACCAGUGGCGAAGGCGUUCACCUAGAACGAAUCCGACAGUGAGGGACGAAGCCCUAGGGCGCAAACGGGAUUAGAUACCCCCGUAGUCC